rnacentral:sRNA from 1 species
CUGUUUGGAUAAGUUGCGGACAGAUAAAGUGAAUAUGCGAGUCGAUACCACCAGCCGUUACAAUCAUGCCCUCUGCUGCAAUGACUUCAGUAGAAGCACCAAUAACAAUAUCAAUAUUGUCCAUCAAAUAAGGGUUUCCUGCUUUCCCUAUUGAUGCUAUCCGACCAUCCCUCACUCCAAUAUCUGCCUUAUAUAUCCCUGUAUAAUCUACGAUUAGCGCAUUCGUUACUACAAGAUCAACUGAAUCUUUUCGAGUUGCAAGUGGGUGCUGGCCCAUUCCAUCUCUG